AGAGUUUGAUCAUGGCUCAGAUUGAACGCUGGCGGCAGGCCUAACACAUGCAAGUCGAACGGUAACAGGAAGCAGCUUGCUGCUUUGCUGACGAGUGGCGGACGGGUGAGUAAUGUCUGGGAAACUGCCUGAUGGAGGGGGAUAACUACUGGAAACGGUGGCUAAUACCGCAUAACGUCGCAAGACCAAAGAGGGGGACCUUCGGGCCUCUUGCCAUCAGAUGUGCCCAGAUGGGAUUAGCUUGUUGGUGAGGUAACGGCUCACCAAGGCGACGAUCCCUAGCUGGUCUGAGAGGAUGACCAGCCACACUGGAACUGAGACACGGUCCAGACUCCUACGGGAGGCAGCAGUGGGGAAUAUUGCACAAUGGGCGCAAGCCUGAUGCAGCCAUGCCGCGUGUAUGAAGAAGGCCUUCGGGUUGUAAAGUACUUUCAGCGGGGAGGAAGGUGUUGUGGUUAAUAACCGCAGCAAUUGACGUUACCCGCAGAAGAAGCACCGGCUAACUCCGUGCCAGCAGCCGCGGUAAUACGGAGGGUGCAAGCGUUAAUCGGAAUUACUGGGCGUAAAGCGCACGCAGGCGGUCUGUCAAGUCGGAUGUGAAAUCCCCGGGCUCAACCUGGGAACUGCAUUCGAAACUGGCAGGCUUGAGUCUUGUAGAGGGGGGUGGAAUUCCAGGUGUAGCGGUGAAAUGCGUAGAGAUCUGGAGGAAUACCGGUGGCGAAGGCGGCCCCCUGGACAAAGACUGACGCUCAGGUGCGAAAGCGUGGGGAGCAAACAGGAUUAGAUACCCUGGUAGUCCACGCCGUAAACGAUGUCUACUUGGAGGUUGUGCCCUUGAGGCGUGGCUUCCGGAGCUAACGCGUUAAGUAGACCGCCUGGGGAGUACGGCCGCAAGGUUAAAACUCAAAUGAAUUGACGGGGCCCGCACAAGCGGUGGAGCAUGUGGUUUAAUUCGAUGCAACGCGAAGAACCUUACCUGGUCUUGACAUCCACGGAAGUUUUCAGAGAUGAGAAUGUGCCUUCGGGAACCGUGAGACAGGUGCUGCAUGGCUGUCGUCAGCUCGUGUUGUGAAAUGUUGGGUUAAGUCCCGCAACGAGCGCAACCCUUAUCCUUUGUUGCCAGCGAUUAGGUCGGGAACUCAAAGGAGACUGCCAGUGAUAAACUGGAGGAAGGUGGGGAUGACGUCAAGUCAUCAUGGCCCUUACGACCAGGGCUACACACGUGCUACAAUGGCGCAUACAAAGAGAAGCGACCUCGCGAGAGCAAGCGGACCUCAUAAAGUGCGUCGUAGUCCGGAUUGGAGUCUGCAACUCGACUCCAUGAAGUCGGAAUCGCUAGUAAUCGUGGAUCAGAAUGCCACGGUGAAUACGUUCCCGGGCCUUGUACACACCGCCCGUCACACCAUGGGAGUGGGUUGCAAAAGAAGUAGGUAGCUUAACCUUCGGGAGGGCGCUUACCACUUUGUGAUUCAUGACUGGGGUGAAGUCGUAACAAGGUAACCGUAGGGGAACCUGCGGUUGGAUCACCU
rnacentral:rRNA from 1 species